UAAAAUGUGUUGUUCAAUAAUACGAAUUUUUCGGUACUACGAAAGGGCCUGACAUUAUAUAAUUCGUACUAGUGGACGUCCACUGUAUUUUGAUUUAACAUUACUUAACCAUCGUCUUAAACAUUUUAAUUUUGGUGUUUUUGAAAAAAAAAAAUAUCCGCAUAACGAAGUCUUGCCAAAUGAAUUGAAGUCCAAUAAGUAUAAAAUGUCUGGGCGGCAAAUGAUGUGUUUUACAUAUUUAUUACCUUUAAUUAUUGGAGAUUUAAUUCCCUCUGAUGAUAUUGUAUGCCAAUUUGUUCUUAAUUUUAUCUAUAUAGUGGAUGAUUUGUUAUAUUUCAAAUAUAAUGCCCAAUUCGCUUCUAAUCUAAGAAAGCAAAUUGAGGAUCAUAACCGUCAAUAUAUGAUUGUUUUCGAUAAACCUCUUAAAUCAAAAUACCAUUUUUUCAUUCAUUACCCAAGUAUUAUAGCAAAUCCGUACCCCUAAGGUUAUUUUGGAAUUUUCAAUAUGAAGCAAAACAUAAACAAUUUAAGUUAUAUUCCCAUUCAAUUACAUCUUGAAAAAAUAUACCACUAAAACUUGCCAAAAAAUAUCAAUUGAAAUCUGCUACUUUUUUACUAAGUCCACCUCAAAUAUAUACUAAUUACAAGAACACUUCAAACAAUCUAAAAUUACAGCAAGUUAUAUAUAAUAUAUUAGGAAACAAAAAUGUUAAAUUAUAUUUCGAUGUGGAACAUCAUGGAUAUUAUUAUAAACAAAAUUUAUAUAUAUCAACAUAUUUAAAUUAUGUAUUAAUUUUUAGAAUUAUUGUUGCAAUACAAUUGGAUAAUCAAUCCGUACUAUUCUACUGCGAAAAGGUUAAAUCUUAUCAAUACAAUCCCCAUUACUUAUCUUAUGAAAUCGUCUCUGAAAAAUCGAAUGAAUAUCACAUAAUUAAUAUCAGCGAUUUAUUGGGACCAGCGGUAUUGAUGAUAAAUACAGCUUUUGGAAAAUCAUUUAUACGUUUAAAAGAGUAUUACAAAUUGAUAUAAAUUUAAAUAAAGUAAAAAAUGGAAAACGAGCAUCAACAAAACGAAGAAGAACAACAGUUAUAUUUUUUACUAUCAUCAUGGAACUUACUUCAACUUUUUGAUAAACUAAAAGAACAACAAUGUUAUGUAUCCGUACUAAAAGUUAUAAAAACUCAUCAAAUAGAGAAAGUAGUCGCAAAUGUUCCCGUUGGCUUAGCAAUAUUAUUUGAACAUUGUUCGGAAACCUGGAGAUCUGAAAUAAAAUUACCUAUUAAGUGUUCUACGCCCGAUAAUAUAAGCUUUAGUUCGGAGUAUUCAAAUUGUUCCAAAGAAAAGCAUGAAUUUAAUGAAGAUUUUCAAUUUAUACUAAUGAAAUCCAAAAACGGCCAAAGUUUAAAGAAGCCUAAAGAAAGCUUUUAAUAAAUACAAUAGCAAAACAUUUCAUUGAUUCAGAUCUGCCAUUUUCUUUAGGAGAAAGCGAAAAACUCGAAUUUUAUAGAACUUGCAAAAGAGGUCGGAUUUAUUUUUUUCUGAAUCCACUACACCAUCCUCAUCGUAUAGUAAUGAGGAGUCCCAUUUUGUGCCUGAAGAAGUUUAUGAAACAAUAAGAAACUUUUUAAACGAUGACAAACUUAAUGAAGAUGAAUAUAUCGAUUACUAAAAAGGAUGUAGUCAGUAUAGAUUUUCACAAAUAGAAAAAUGUAAAUCUGCAGCAAGUAUUUUUAAAAUUUGGCCAGAAUACACUAAUGCCAAUGGGAUUCGUAUGUAUCCAAACUGUGAAAAUAUUCACGAAAACUGGGCUUUAAAAUCUAAUAAAAUGGAGACUUUAUUGAAGAAGAUUUCCGGAAAGUAUGAAAGCAUUAAUAAAAUUAUAUUAAUUAUAUGUAUGUAUGAAAAACAAAUAUUUAUGUAAAAAUUUUCAUAAAUAUUAUG